rnacentral:lncRNA from 1 species
GAUCUCACUCUGUCACCCAGGCUGGAGUUCAGUGGUGCAGUAAUGGCUCACUGCAGACUUGACAUCCUGACCACAGGGGAGGACUGGACUGGCUGGUUGAUUGUCGAAGAAUUUAAGUGACAUCAGGGGGUCUUACAUCCAAUGUAUUGUUUGGAAAUGGAUAUGCAAGAGAACAAAAACCUCAGACCAUGUAUCCUGCUCAGAGCAUUUUCUUACAGCUCCUGACAAUAGCUUCUUAUAGCAGACAGAAUUUCAUUCAUUGAGUUACAACGGCAUGCCUCUAGGAGAAGGAUUUGGAAAAGAAGAUCUCAUGAUAUAGAUGCCAACAACUUGCUUAGAUAUCCUCUCACAGAAAAUUGAAAAGCUAUGUUCUCUUACUUUAAGUUAAAAUAUGAAUAUUUUAUCAUAUUACUAUAAGUUGAAAUAUCUCUAGAUAAUAUAACUUGG